rnacentral:rRNA from 1 species
UAAUACGUAGGCAGCAAGCGUUGUUCGGAAUUACUGGGCGUAAAGAGUGCGUAGGCGGUUAACUAAGUUUGGUGUGAAAUCUCCCGGCUUAACUGGGAGGGUGCGCCGAAAACUGGCUAGCUAGAGUGUGGGAGAGGAUAGUGGAAUUCCUGGUGUAGCGGUGAAAUGCGUAGAUAUCAGGAGGAACACCUGCGGUGUAGACGGCUAUCUGGACCAUGACUGACGCUGAGGCACGAAAGCGUGGGUAGCAAACAGGAUUAGAUACCCUGGUAGUCCACGCCCUAAACGAUGCAAACUUGGUGUGCGCCCUUCAUUGGGUGCGUGCCGUAGCUAACGCGUUAAGUUUGCCGCCUGGGGAGUACGGUCGCAAGGCUG